UUAAGUUAUUAAGGGCGCACGGUGGAUGCCUUGGCACUAGAAGCCGAUGAAGGACGUUACUAACGACGAUAUGCUUUGGGGAGCUGUAAGUAAGCUUUGAUCCAGAGAUUUCCGAAUGGGGAAACCCAGCAUGAGUUAUGUCAUGUUAUCGAUAUGUGAAUACAUAGCAUAUCAGAAGGCACACCCGGAGAACUGAAACAUCUUAGUACCCGGAGGAAGAAAAAGAAAAUUCGAUUCCCUUAGUAGCGGCGAGCGAAACGGGAAGAGCCCAAACCAACAAGCUUGCUUGUUGGGGUUGUAGGACACUCUAUACGGAGUUACAAAGGACGACAUUAGACGAAUCAUCUGGAAAGAUGAAUCAAAGAAGGUAAUAAUCCUGUAGUCGAAAAUGUUGUCUCUCUUGAGUGGAUCCUGAGUACGACGGAACACGUGAAAUUCCGUCGGAAUCUGGGAGGACCAUCUCCUAAGGCUAAAUACUCUCUAGUGACCGAUAGUGAACCAGUACCGUGAGGGAAAGGUGAAAAGCACCCCGGAAGGGGAGUGAAAUAGAACCUGAAACCGUGUGCUUACAAGUAGUCAGAGCCCGUUAAUGGGUGAUGGCGUGCCUUUUGUAGAAUGAACCGGCGAGUUACGAUUUGAUGCAAGGUUAAGCAGUAAAUGUGGAGCCGUAGCGAAAGCGAGUCUGAAUAGGGCGUUUAGUAUUUGGUCGUAGACCCGAAACCAGGUGAUCUACCCUUGGUCAGGUUGAAGUUCAGGUAACACUGAAUGGAGGACCGAACCGACUUACGUUGAAAAGUGAGCGGAUGAACUGAGGGUAGCGGAGAAAUUCCAAUCGAACCUGGAGAUAGCUGGUUCUCUCCGAAAUAGCUUUAGGGCUAGCCUCAAGUGAUGAUUAUUGGAGGUAGAGCACUGUUUGGACGAGGGGCCCCUCUCGGGUUACCGAAUUCAGACAAACUCCGAAUGCCAAUUAAUUUAACUUGGGAGUCAGAACAUGGGUGAUAAGGUCCGUGUUCGAAAGGGAAACAGCCCAGACCACCAGCUAAGGUCCCAAAAUAUAUGUUAAGUGGAAAAGGAUGUGGCGUUGCCCAGACAACUAGGAUGUUGGCUUAGAAGCAGCCAUCAUUUAAAGAGUGCGUAAUAGCUCACUAGUCGAGUGACACUGCGCCGAAAAUGUACCGGGGCUAAACAUAUUACCGAAGCUGUGGAUUGUCCUUUGGACAAUGGUAGGAGAGCGUUCUAAGGGCGUUGAAGCAUGAUCGUAAGGACAUGUGGAGCGCUUAGAAGUGAGAAUGCCGGUGUGAGUAGCGAAAGACGGGUGAGAAUCCCGUCCACCGAUUGACUAAGGUUUCCAGAGGAAGGCUCGUCCGCUCUGGGUUAGUCGGGUCCUAAGCUGAGGCCGACAGGCGUAGGCGAUGGAUAACAGGUUGAUAUUCCUGUACCACCUAUAAUCGUUUUAAUCGAUGGGGGGACGCAGUAGGAUAGGCGAAGCGUGCGAUUGGAUUGCACGUCUAAGCAGUAAGGCUGAGUAUUAGGCAAAUCCGGUACUCGUUAAGGCUGAGCUGUGAUGGGGAGAAGACAUUGAGUCUUCGAGUCGUUGAUUUCACACUGCCGAGAAAAGCCUCUAGAUAGAAAAUAGGUGCCCGUACCGCAAACCGACACAGGUAGUCAAGAUGAGAAUUCUAAGGUGAGCGAGCGAACUCUCGUUAAGGAACUCGGCAAAAUGACCCCGUAACUUCGGGAGAAGGGGUGCUCUUUAGGGUUAACGCCCAGAAGAGCCGCAGUGAAUAGGCCCAAGCGACUGUUUAUCAAAAACACAGGUCUCUGCUAAACCGUAAGGUGAUGUAUAGGGGCUGACGCCUGCCCGGUGCUGGAAGGUUAAGAGGAGUGGUUAGCUUCUGCGAAGCUACGAAUCGAAGCCCCAGUAAACGGCGGCCGUAACUAUAACGGUCCUAAGGUAGCGAAAUUCCUUGUCGGGUAAGUUCCGACCCGCACGAAAGGCGUAACGAUUUGGGCACUGUCUCAACGAGAGACUCGGUGAAAUCAUAGUACCUGUGAAGAUGCAGGUUACCCGCGACAGGACGGAAAGACCCCGUGGAGCUUUACUGUAGCCUGAUAUUGAAAUUCGGCACAGCUUGUACAGGAUAGGUAGGAGCCUUUGAAACGUGAGCGCUAGCUUACGUGGAGGCGCUGGUGGGAUACUACCCUAGCUGUGUUGGCUUUCUAACCCGCACCACUUAUCGUGGUGGGAGACAGUGUCAGGCGGGCAGUUUGACUGGGGCGGUCGCCUCCUAAAAGGUAACGGAGGCGCUCAAAGGUUCCCUCAGAAUGGUUGGAAAUCAUUCAUAGAGUGUAAAGGCAUAAGGGAGCUUGACUGCGAGACCUACAAGUCGAGCAGGGUCGAAAGACGGACUUAGUGAUCCGGUGGUUCCGCAUGGAAGGGCCAUCGCUCAACGGAUAAAAGCUACCCCGGGGAUAACAGGCUUAUCUCCCCCAAGAGUUCACAUCGACGGGGAGGUUUGGCACCUCGAUGUCGGCUCAUCGCAUCCUGGGGCUGUAGUCGGUCCCAAGGGUUGGGCUGUUCGCCCAUUAAAGCGGUACGCGAGCUGGGUUCAGAACGUCGUGAGACAGUUCGGUCCCUAUCCGUCGUGGGCGUAGGAAAUUUGAGAGGAGCUGUCCUUAGUACGAGAGGACCGGGAUGGACAUACCUCUGGUGUACCAGUUGUCGUACCAACGGCAUAGCUGGGUAGCUAUGUGUGGACGGGAUAAGUGCUGAAAGCAUCUAAGCAUGAAGCCCCCCUCAAGAUGAGAUUUCCCAACUUCGGUUAUAAGAUCCCUCAAAGAUGAUGAGGUUAAUAGGUUCGAGGUGGAAGCAUGGUGACAUGUGGAGCUGACGAAUACUAAUCGAUCGAAGACUUAAUCAA
rnacentral:rRNA from 1 species